GGCACAUGGGGGGGAUGCCUUGGCUCUCAGAGGCGAAGAAGGACGUGAUAAGCUGCGAUAAGCUACGGGAAGGCGCAAAUAGCCCUUGAUCCGUGGAUUUCCGAAUGGGGGGGCAACCCAAUAACCGAAGAGGUUAUUACACUACCAUGUAGUGAGCUAACCAGGGGGGGAACUGAAACAUCUAAGUACCCUGAGGAAAAGAAAAUAAAAAUGAUUCCCAAAGUAGUGGCGAGCGAACUGGGAAAAGCCCAAACCAAUCCUGUUUAGGCAGGGUUGGGGGGGUUGUAGGACUGCGUUGUGGCACGACAAGUUUGAAGUGGAAACCUUUGGAAAUAGGUAUCAUAGAGGGUGAUAAUCCCGUACACGAAUCAGACUCGAAGCCUAGCAGUAUCCUGAGUAGCGCGGGACACGAGAAAUCCUGUGUGAAUCUGCCGGGACCAUCCGGUAAGGCUAAAUACUCCUGAGAGACCGAUAGCGAACCAGUACCGUGAGGGAAAGGUGAAAAGAACCUCGAACAGAGGAGUGAAAUAGACCCUGAAACCAUGUGCCUACAAGCGGUCGGAGCAGUGUAAGCUGUGACGGCGUGCCUUUUGCAUAAUGAACCUACGAGUUACUGUCACUGGCAAGGAUAAGGACAUUAUAAAGUUCCGAUCCGAAGCGAAAGCGAGUCUUAACAGGGCGUCCAAAGUCAGUGGUAGUAGACGCGAAACCAAGUGAUCUACCCUUGUGCAGGUUGAAGGUUGGGUAACACCAACUGGAGGACCGAACCGGUAAACGUUGAAAAGUUUUCGGAUGACGUGAGGGUAGGGGUGAAAGGCUAAUCAAACUUGGAGAUAGCUCGUACUCCCCGAAAUGCAUUUAGGUGCAGCCUCGGCUAAUAUUAUUGUGUCAGGUAGAGCGACUGAUUGGAUGCGAGGGCUUCGCCGCCUAUCAAGUCAGAUAAACUCCGAAUGGGCACAAUAGGUUUACCGGGAGUGAGGGCAUGGGUGCUAAGGUCCAUGUCCGAGAGGGAAAGAACCCAGACCAUCAGCUAAGGUCCCCCCCAAAUAUCAGUUCAGUUGAAUUAACGAAGUAUGACUACCAAGACAGCUAGGAUGUUGGCUUGGAAGCAGCCAUUCAUUUAAAGAGUGCGUAACAGCUCACUAGUCGAGUGGUCGUGCGUGGAUAAUAAUCGGGCAUAAACUGGUUACCGAAGCUAUGGGAUAAAUAUUAUCGGUAGGGGGGGAGCAUUCUACUCGGCGUUGAAGGCGUACCGUCAGGUAUUCUGGAGCGUGUAGAAAAGCAAAUGUAGGUAUAAGUAACGAUAAAGGGGGGGUGAGAAACCCCCCUCGCCGAAAGACUAAGGAUUCCUGAUCAACGCUAAUCGGAUCAGGGUAAGUCGGGCCCUAAUGCUAAGCCGAACGGCAAUGCAGAUGGACGAACCGGUUAAUAUUCCGGUACUGCUGUAAUGAGUGAAGUGGGGGGGACGCAGAAGUGACACUACUGCCAUCUGACGGAUUAGAUGGUUAAAGGGAGUAGGCGUUGACCGGGGGGGUAGGCAAAUCCGCCUGGGAGCUGAACCUGAAAGUACUACAAUCCCCCCGGGAGCGUAGAAAAUGUAGGUAAGCCGGCUGCCGAGAAAAACCGCUAAACGCUAAUCAUUACCGCACCCGUACCGUAAACGGACACACGUAGUCGGGUUGAAAAUACUAAGGCGCUCGAGCGAUUCACAGUUAAGGAAUUAGGCAAAAUGACCCUGUAACUUCGGGAUAAAGGGUACCGUCAGCGAUGGCGGUCGCAGAGAAUAGGUCAAGGCAACUGUUUAUCAAAAACACAUGGCUAUGCAAAUAAGAAAUUAGAAGUAUAUAGUCUGACACCUGCCCGGUGCUGGAAGGUUAAGAGGAGAUGUCAUCGCAAGAGAAGCAUUGAAUUGAAGCCCCCCCAGUAAACGGCGGCCGUAACUAUAACGGUCCUAAGGUAGCGAAAUUCCUUGUCGGGUAAGUUCCGACCUGCACGAAUGGUGUAAUGAUCUUGACACUGUCUCAACUGUGAUCUCGGUGAAAUUGUAGUAUCGGUGAAGAUGCCGAUUACCCGCGAUGGGACGAAAAGACCCCCGUGAACCUUUACUAUAGCUUUACAUUGACGUUGGGCACUUGAUGUGUAGGAUAGGCCGGAGGCAAUGAAGCGGGCACGCUAGUGCAAGUGGAGCCAUCCUUGAAAUACGGCCCUUUGAUUGUCUGGCGUCUAACUCUCGGUAUGAGAGGACAGUGUAUGGUGGGUAGUUUGACUGGGGGGGUGGUCGCCUCCAAAAGAGUAACGGAGGCUUCUAAAGGUGUGCUCAGGACGAUUGGUAACCGUUCGCAGAGUGUAAUGGUAUAAGCACGCUUGACUGAGAGACUAACAAGUCGAACAGGUAGGAAACUAGAGCAUAGUGAUCCGGUGGUUUCAGUAUGGAAUGGCCAUCGCUCAAAGGAUAAAAGGUACUCCGGGGGGGAUAACAGGCUGAUCAUUCCCAAGAGCUCAUAUCGACGGAAUGGUUUGGCACCUCGAUGUCGGCUCGUCACAUCCUGGGGCUGGAGCAGGUCCCAAGGGUUGGGCUGUUCGCCCAUUAAAGUGGCACGCGAGCUGGGUUCAGAACGUCGUGAGACAGUUCGGUCUCUAUCUAUCGUGGGCGCGGGAUAUUUGCGGGGAUCUGACACUAGUACGAGAGGACCGUGUUGGACAGACCCCCCCUGGUUCACCAGUUGUUCCGCCAGGAGCAUCGCUGGGUAGCUAAGUCUGGAUCGGAUAAGUGCUGAAAGCAUCUAAGUACGAAGCCGGCCUCAAGAUAAGAUAUCCUCAUAAGGGUGGUUGU
rnacentral:rRNA from 1 species